CCUACGGGAGGCAGCAGUGGGGAAUAUUGGACAAUGGGCGAAAGCCUGAUCCAGCAAUUCCGCGUGUGUGAAGAAGGCCUUCGGGUUGUAAAGCACUUUAGUGGGGGAAGAAACAGCUUGGCCACACCAAGCCUUGACGGUACCCCAAGAAUAAGCACCGGCUAACUCUGUGCCAGCAGCCGCGGUAAUACAGAGGGUGCAAGCGUCAAUCGGAUUUACUGGGCGUAAAGGGUGCGUAGGUGGCUAUUUAAGUCGGAUGUGAAAGCCCGGGGCUCAACCUCGGAAUUGCAUUCGAUACUGAGUGGCUAGAGUUCGGUAGAGGGCGGCGGAAUUUCCGGUGUAGCGGUGAAAUGCGUAGAUAUCGGAAGGAACAUCAAUGGCGAAGGCAGCCGCCUGGGCCUGGACUGACACUGAGGCACGAAAGCGUGGGUAGCAAACAGGAUUAGAUACCCUGGUAGUCCACGCCGUAAACGAUGAGAACUUGACGUUGGUUCGUUUUACGAAUCGGUGUCGCAGCUAACGCGAUAAGUUNUCCGCCUGGGGAGUACGGCGCAAGUUGAACUCAAGGAAUUGACGG
rnacentral:rRNA from 1 species